AAUAAACCAAUUUUUCACUUUUUACAUUCAAUUUUUUACUCUUCGUCUUAUUCAAAUUUUUUUACGAUUGAUAUUUUUGUUUUUACUAGAUGAUAAAUUAUAAAUAGUAUUUUACGUGUGACUAAUUUUUUUAAUUUUCUGAAAAUUUUUCAAAUAAAACGGAUGGUCCAACGUUGGGCACAGAAACCGAAGAAUUCAUUUUUU
rnacentral:pre_miRNA from 1 species